GCGUUGGUGGUUUAGUGGUAAAAUUCAUCGUUGCCAAGCACAUGACUUAAGCGUGACGUGAGUCAUAACAUAAUCCAAAGAUCAUCACUGUGACACCUCGAUGAGCCCCGGGUUCGAUUCCCGGCCGACGCA